UACGCCCCGAGAUGAGUAGGAGGGUCGCCGCGGUGCGCCUGGAAGCCUGGGGCGCGGGCCCGGGUGGAGCCGCCGCGGGUGCAGAUCUUGGUGGUAGUAGCAAGUAUUCAAGCGAGAUCCUUGAAGGGCGAAGUGGGGAAGGGUUUCACGCGAACAUUGAUUGGGCGUGAGUGAGUCGUUCCUAAGCCGAGUGGCAAUUGCUAAUUAACGGCGAAAGGGAAGCGGGUUGACAUUCCCGCACACGGAUGUGGAGGCGGCGACGCAUUAUUGGGGCGAACACGCUGGCGAUGGCGCUGGGCAGAGUUGUCUUUUCUGUUUGACCGCUUGCGCACGCAGUGUGGAAUCCGCUUGUCGGGAGAAACACGCGUGUACGGGCAGAGCGCUGGGGCUUUUCCAGCGUCCAGCUCGCCAUCGACGGCCCUUGAAACUUUGCCUGCUGAAUUUAAGAUCCACGCCGUGGCGUACCGAUCACCGCAUCAGGUCCCCAAGGUGAACAGCCUCUGCUCAAUAUGAAAAAUGCAGGUAAGGGAAGUCGGCAAAAUAGAUCCGUGUAACUUCGGGAUAAGGAUUGGCUCUAAGGGCUGGGUCGGUCGGGCUGGGGUGCGAAGCGGGGCUGGGCGCGAGCCGCGGCUGGGCGAGGCGCCGCCCCGUGCCCCCCCUCCCGCCGCCGCUGGAAAGGGCCCCCGCGGCGCCCGUCGCCGCCCUUCCUUCCUCUUCUCUCCGAGAAGGGGAAGUGUGGAGCGCGCGGCGGCGUCACCGGGGGACUCCCGGAAGGCGGGCCGGCGAGAGGGGUGGGUCGGCAGGCGGCGGCGACUCUGGACGCGCGCCGGGCCCUUCUCGCGGAUCACCCCAGCUGCGGCGCGCGCCGGCGGCCGUUCACGCGGCCCGUCCGGCGCGUCGCCUCGGCCGGCGCCUAGCAGCUGACUCAGAACUGGUGCGGACCAGGGGAAUCCGACUGUUUAAUUAAAACAAAGCAUCGCGAAGGCCCGCGGCUGGUGUUGACGCGAUGUGAUUUCUGCCAAGUGCUCUGAAUGUCAAAGUGAAGCAAUUUAAAUGAAGCGCGGGUAAACGGCGGGAGUAUUAUGACUCUCUUAAGGGAGCCAAAACCUCGUCACUAAUUAGAUGACGCGCAUGAAUGGAUGAACGAGAUUCCCCCUCUGUCCCUGUCUACUAUCUCCAGCGAGACCAAGCCAAGGGAACCGGCCUCGGCAAAAUCGGCGGGGAAAGAAGACCCUGUUGAGCUUGACUCUAGUCUGGCACUGUGAAAGACAUGAGAGGUGUAGAAUAAGUGGGAGGCCUCGGCCGCCGGUGAAAUACAACUACUCCUCGUUUUUUUCACUUACCCGGUGAGGCGGGGAGGCGAGCCCCCGGCGGGCUCUCGCUUCUGGUGUCAGGCGGCGGGGGAGCGAUCCCGACCCGGGCGCGCAACCCGCGCGUGGUCAGUGGGAGGGGGGGGGGUUGGCUGGGGCGGUACACCUGUCAAAACGGUAACGCAGGUGGUCCUAAGGCGACUCAGGGAGGACAGAAACCUCCCGUGGAAGCAGAAGGGCAAAAGGCUCCUUGAUCUUGGAUUUUUCAGUAUGAAUACAGACCGUAAAGCGGGCCUCACGAUCCUUCUGACUUUUUGGGUUUUAAGCACAGGGUGUCAGAAAAGUUACCCCACAANNNNNNNNUCAAAAAGGCGACGUCGCUUAUGAACGCUUGGCUGCCCAAAAGCCA
rnacentral:rRNA from 1 species